GACGAACGCUGGCGGCGCGCCUAACACAUGCAAGUCGAACGGUGAAGAGGAGCUUGCUCCUCGGAUCAGUGGCGGACGGGUGAGUAACACGUGAGCAACCUGCCUUUCAGUGGGGGACAACAGUUGGAAACGACUGCUAAUACCGCAUAACGUGCCGGAAGGGCAUCCUUUUGGUACCAAAGAUUUAUCGCUGAAAGAUGGGCUCGCGUCUGAUUAGAUAGUUGGUGAGGUAACGGCUCACCAAGUCGACGAUCAGUAGCCGGACUGAGAGGUUGAUCGGCCACAUUGGGACUGAGACACGGCCCAG
rnacentral:rRNA from 1 species